UUGCACCAUGCGCAGAGGCUGCUACCAUACUCGCAAAGAGUAAAAACAAAAAUGGAGCAACCUUUGAGCAACGGUGCGGAAAUAGAAAGCUGAGUGAAUCAGCGGCGGCCAGACAACCGCUGGGAUGGAUCCACAGAGGAGCGUCGUCCUCCGAUGCCUCUCUACUAAAUCCAUCUCAAAUGU